rnacentral:tmRNA from 1 species
GGGGCCGCCAUGGUUUCGACGUGGAUUGCAAAGCUAUUGAGGGCGUGUCGAGGAUCAGUUACCUCGUAAAUCCAUCUGAAAAACAGUAAACGCAAACGACGAACAGUUUGCUCUAGCAGCUUAAUCGCUCGCUAGAUCUCACACCAGCUUGCCGAUGGGCUGGGCAGGGUCAAACCUGCGGUGGGAUCAUCGCACAUCGGAUCGCUGCAUGCAGGGUUGCGAUGCAAGUGGCUAAAUCAAGCAACUCGCGGCUGUCGUAGGGUGUCCCUUCCCGACAAUGGCCGUUAAAACCAAAUAAGACGACUACACACGUAGAACUUGUAGUGGAGGAUUUGCGGACGCGGGUUCAACUCCCGCCGGCUCCACCA